CAGCAAACGGGGAAAUCCUGAGGACCAUGCCUCGGACUCACCGGCCUCCGAUGUCGACUUCUCUGCCGGCUUUCACUCCGGCGGUUUCACCACUACUUCACCUGCCCAGACAUUGACCACCAGGGCUUUCUGCCGGGGGAAGAACACUCGCACGACGAAAAACUCCACCUCUCCUGCGAAUGGGGUGGAUUGCCGCUGGGGACGCUGGCGGCAAUGAUGGUGGGGAUAGGGAUUGGGGGACUGAUUCUGCUUGUUGGGACCGCGGCCGGAGCAAAAGCCGGCAGAGCUGUCGACAUCGGAGGCCGGCGAGUCCGAGGCAUGUUGCUCGGGAUUUCUCUGUGUGCUAUUUCUGGGGGAAACUCCGAACGGUUAUGUUUGGUUCAGUUUGGACGGAGCAGCACCAGAGACACCGCGACUGUGGAUAAGGCUUGGUGCGCGUUGUGGCGAAGCAAGGUGGCGCGGCUGUGGCCUGUUAGUGUUGCCGCUGUGGCUGUGGCAUCGAACCGACGUUGGGGAAGGCAGCAAGCAACUCGUCUGGAUGUGUAGGCGAGACGACCAAUGUCAAGAGGGUCGAGCAGCACGAGUGAGAUCGGUGGGACUGCACAAUGGGGUCAAGCGAUCCUCUUGCCACCGCGACCCAUCAUCUGCUCAGCCAUUCCAGCCGCGGAUCUUUUCUUCAUUAGCAAUAGGUAACUUCUCUUCAGCGAAGUCCAGCAGCUACGGCCAUGGAGGAUCUUCAUUCUCUUUCCUCACCUAGUUUCACUAGAAGACAACUUAGUUUCCUUCGAUUUACGGUCGAUCCAGUGGAAGAAACAGAGCUAACUACGAAGCUCCGAGAUUCUCCAUCUUCGCUCUAACCGAAAAUACCUCACUGCCGAUUCAAAGUUCAUCGGUGGUCUGUGUCGGUGUUCUGUUGAUAUCAGCCACGCCUACCACGUGAUUGUGUCUUCUCUCAUCUAAUUCCAGAAUCCACUGCAAUUCAUUCUAGAUUUGUUGAUCGCUUUUGUUCUGUUUUGUUCUACCUUGGUCAUUACGUUUUCGCUUGCUAUGCCGAGUCGAUGGAUAUGUCAUCGCGCUACAACUUCGAAGAAGAGAAUGAUUUUCAGAUAUUGAAGUGCAAUCACUCCAUCGUAAAAAAGAGAGAACUCACUGCGAAGGAGUUCUGAGCUAAUCUCCCUCUCGGUAUCCUCUGUUCCCUAUUGCAGAGUUUUUCCUCUGUUAAGAGUGGAAGAACAGAAAUUUUCUAUUGCGAAGCGAAGUAAUAACGAUGGGAUAUUAACCCAACAAUAUGAUGUUAGGAAGAAAAAUGAAAAUUUUCAAAUCAUGG